rnacentral:rRNA from 1 species
CCGUCGUGAAGAGGGAAACAACCCAGACCGCCAGCUAAGGUCCCAAAGUCAUGGUUAAGUGGGAAACGAUGUGGGAAGGCCCAGACAGCCAGGAUGUUGGCUUAGAAGCAGCCAUCAUUUAAAGAAAGCGUAAUAGCUCACUGGUCGAGUCGGCCUGCGCGGAAGAUGUAACGGGGCUAAACCAUGCACCGAAGCUGCGGCAGCGACACUGUGUGUUGUUGGGUAGGGGAGCGUUCUGUAAGCCUGUGAAGGUGUGUCGUGAGGCAUGCUGGAGGUAUCAGAAGUGCGAAUGCUGACAUAAGUAACGAUAAAGCGGGUGAAAAGCCCGCUCGCCGGAAGACCAAGGGUUCCUGUCCAACGUUAAUCGGGGCAGGGUGAGUCGACCCCUAAGGCGAGGCCGAAAGGCGUAGUCGAUGGGAAACGGGUUAAUAUUCCCGUACUUGGUGUUACUGCGAAGGGGGGACGGAGAAGGCUAUGUUGGCCGGGCGACGGUUGUCCCGGUUUAAGCGUGUAGGUGUGUGUUCCAGGUAAAUCCGGUUCACUUUAACACUGAGGCGUGACGACGAGGCACUACGGUGCUGAAGCAACAAAUGCCCUGCUUCCAGGAAAAGCCUCUAAGCAUCAGGUAACAUCAAAUCGUACCCCAAACCGACACAGGUGGUCAGGUAGAGAAUACCAAGGCGCUUGAGAGAACUCGGGUGAAGGAACUAGGCAAAAUGGUGCCGUAACUUCGGGAGAAGGCACGCUGACACGUAGGUGAAGUGAUUUACUCAUGGAGCUGAAGUCAGUCGAAGAUACCAGCUGGCUGCAACUGUUUAUUAAAAACACAGCACUGUGCAAACACGAAAGUGGACGUAUACGGUGUGACGCCUGCCCGGUGCCGGAAGGUUAAUUGAUGGGGUCAGCGCAAGCGAAGCUCCUGAUCGAAGCCCCGGUAAACGGCGGCCGUAACUAUAACGGUCCUAAGGUAGCGAAAUUCCUUGUCGGGUAAGUUCCGACCUGCACGAAUGGCGUAAUGAUGGCCAGGCUGUCUCCACCCGAGACUCAGUGAAAUUGAACUCGCUGUGAAGAUGCAGUGUACCCGCGGCAAGACGGAAAGACCCCGUGAACCUUUACUAUAGCUUGACACUGAACAUUGAGCCUUGAUGUGUAGGAUAGGUGGGAGGCUUUGAAGUGUGGACGCCAGUCUGCAUGGAGCCGACCUUGAAAUACCACCCUUUAAUGUUUGAUGUUCUAACGUGGACCCGUUACCCGGGUUGCGGACAGUGUCUGGUGGGUAGUUUGACUGGGGCGGUCUCCUCCUAAAGAGUAACGGAGGAGCACGAAGGUUGGCUAAUCCUGGUCGGACAUCAGGAGGUUAGUGCAAUGGCAUAAGCCAGCUUGACUGCGAGCGUGACGGCGCGAGCAGGUGCGAAAGCAGGUCAUAGUGAUCCGGUGGUUCUGAAUGGAAGGGCCAUCGCUCAACGGAUAAAAGGUACUCCGGGGAUAACAGGCUGAUACCGCCCAAGAGUUCAUAUCGACGGCGGUGUUUGGCACCUCGAUGUCGGCUCAUCACAUCCUGGGGCUGAAGUAGGUCCCAAGGGUAUGGCUGUUCGCCAUUUAAAGUGGUACGCGAGCUGGGUUUAGAACGUCGUGAGACAGUUCGGUCCCUAUCUGCCGUGGGCGCUGGAGAACUGAGGGGGGCUGCUCCUAGUACGAGAGGACCGGAGUGGACGCAUCACUGGUGUUCGGGUUGUCAUGCCAAUGGCACUGCCCGGUAGCUAAAUGCGGAAGAGAUAAGUGCUGAAAGCAUCUAAGCACGAAACUUGCCCCGA